GACGAACGCUGGCGGCGUGCUUAACACAUGCAAGUCGAACGGAAAGGCCCUGCUUUUGUGGGGUGCUCGAGUGGCGAACGGGUGAGUAACACGUGAGUAACCUGCCCUUGACUUUGGGAUAACUUCAGGAAACUGGGGCUAAUACCGGAUAGGAGCUCCUGCUGCAUGGUGGGGGUUGGAGAGUUUCGGCGGUUGGGGAUAGACUCGCGGCUUAUCAGCUUGUUGGUGGGGUAGUGGCUUACCAAGGCUUUGACGGGUAGCCGGCCUGAGAGGGUGACCGGCCACAUUGGGACUGAGAUACGGCCCAGACUCCUACGGGAGGCAGCAGUGGGGAAUAUUGCACAAUGGGCGGAAGCCUGAUGCAGCAACGCCGCGUGCGGGAUGACGGCCUUCGGGUUGUAAACCGCUUUCGCCUGUGACGAAGCGUGAGUGACGGUAAUGGGUAAAGAAGCACCGGCUAACUACGUGCCAGCAGCCGCGGUGAUACGUAGGGUGCGAGCGUUGUCCGGAUUUAUUGGGCGUAAAGGGCUCGUAGGUGGUUGAUCGCGUCGGAAGUGUAAUCUUGGGGCUUAACCCUGAGCGUGCUUUCGAUACGGGUUGACUUGAGGAAGGUAGGGGAGAAUGGAAUUCCUGGUGGAGCGGUGGAAUGCGCAGAUAUCAGGAGGAACACCAGUGGCGAAGGCGGUUCUCUGGGCCUUUCCUGACGCUGAGGAGCGAAAGCGUGGGGAGCGAACAGGCUUAGAUACCCUGGUAGUCCACGCUGUAAACGGUGGGUACUAGGUGUGGGGUCCAUUCCACGGGUUCCGUGCCGUAGCUAACGCUUUAAGUACCCCGCCUGGGGAGUACGGCCGCAAGGCUAAAACUCAAAGGAAUUGACGGGGCCCCGCACAAGCGGCGGAGCAUGCGGAUUAAUUCGAUGCAACGCGUAGAACCUUACCUGGGUUUGACAUGGAUCGGGAGCGCUCAGAGAUGGGUGUGCCUCUUUUGGGGUCGGUUCACAGGUGGUGCAUGGCUGUCGUCAGCUCGUGUCGUGAGAUGUUGGGUUAAGUCCCGCAACGAGCGCAACCCUUGUUCACUGUUGCCAGCACGUUAUGGUGGGGACUCAGUGGAGACCGCCGGGGUCAACUCGGAGGAAGGUGGGGAUGACGUCAAGUCAUCAUGCCCCUUAUGUCCAGGGCUUCACGCAUGCUACAAUGGCUGGUACAGAGAGUGGCGAGCCUGUGAGGGUGAGCGAAUCUCGGAAAGCCGGUCUCAGUUCGGAUUGGGGUCUGCAACUCGACCUCAUGAAGUCGGAGUCGCUAGUAAUCGCAGAUCAGCAACGCUGCGGUGAAUACGUUCCCGGGGCU
rnacentral:rRNA from 1 species